rnacentral:rRNA from 1 species
ACUGCGAAUGGCUCAUUAAAUCAGUUAUCGUUUAUUUGAUAGUACCUUACUACAUGGAUACCUGUGGUAAUUCUAGAGCUAAUACAUGCUAAAAACCCCGACUUCAGGAAGGGGUGUAUUUAUUAGAUAAAAAACCAACGCCCUUCGGGGCUCCUUGGUGAAUCAUAAUAACUUAACGAAUCGCAUGGCCUUGCGCCGGCGAUGGUUCAUUCAAAUUUCUGCCCUAUCAACUUUCGAUGGUAGGAUAGUGGCCUACCAUGGUGGCAACGGGUAACGGGGAAUUAGGGUUCGAUUCCGGAGAGGGAGCCUGAGAAACGGCUACCACAUCCAAGGAAGGCAGCAGGCGCGCAAAUUACCCAAUCCCGAUACGGGGAGGUAGUGACAAUAAAUACUGAUACGGGGCUCUUUUGGGUCUCGUAAUUGGAAUGAGAACAAUUUAAAUCCCUUAACGAGGAACAAUUGGAGGGCAAGUCUGGUGCCAGCAGCCGCGGUAAUUCCAGCUCCAAUAGCGUAUAUUAAAGUUGUUGCAGUUAAAAAGCUCGUAGUUGAACCUUGGGCCUGGCUGGCCGGUCCGCCUCACCGCGAGUACUGGUCCGGCUGGGCCUUUCCUUCUGGGGAACCUCAUGGCCUUCACUGGCUGUGGGGGGAACCAGGACUUUUACUGUGAAAAAAUUAGAGUGUUCAAAGCAGGCCUUUGCUCGAAUACAUUAGCAUGGAAUAAUAGAAUAGGACGUGUGGUUCUAUUUUGUUGGUUUCUAGGACCGCCGUAAUGAUUAAUAGGGAUAGUCGGGGGCGUCAGUAUUCAGCUGUCAGAGGUGAAAUUCUUGGAUUUGCUGAAGACUAACUACUGCGAAAGCAUUCGCCAAGGAUGUUUUCAUUAAUCAGGGAACGAAAGUUAGGGGAUCGAAGACGAUCAGAUACCGUCGUAGUCUUAACCAUAAACUAUGCCGACUAGGGAUCGGACGGGAUUCUAUAAUGACCCGUUCGGCACCUUACGAGAAAUCAA